GAAACGCGGGAAGGAAGCACGCGGUCGUGACGUAGAACUCACGCGACGUCGUAGCAGGAAACAAACGUCGGUUGAGCCAACAUGGCGCCCGCGCUCCUUCAGUCCGGAGUGGGUUAGCAUGAAACCUAUCCGAUUAAACCUCUUAUGACACGGUUUCGGCUCUUAUUACUCGGAAUAAUUAUUUUUAGCACCAAGAAGAGUCCAUCUAAACUAUCGGAGACGCGUUUGGAUGCUGUGAGGAGGAGAUGGCGGGCCGUAGAGUCGAGUGUUUGUGGAAACAUCACGUCGUGGAGCAGCUGAAGCAGAGAGACAGAGUUCAGCGUCAGGCCUUUGAGGAGAUCAUACACCAGUAUAACCGGCUGUUAGAGAAGUCUGAUCUUCGGGUUGUUUUUUCUGAACAUCUCCAGACCGAGAAAUAUGAGCAACAGAACAGACACGACCUCAGGUGCUCAUGGGAACACUUACAGACUUUAUACCA